UAGGGAAUCUUCCACAAUGGACGAAAGUCUGAUGGAGCAACGCCGCGUGAGUGAAGAAGGGUUUCGGCUCGUAAAACUCUGUUGUUAAAGAAGAACAUAUCUGAGAGUAACUGUUCAGGUAUUGACGGUAUUUAACCAGAAAGUCACGGCUAACUACGUGCCAG
rnacentral:rRNA from 1 species